GAUGAACGCUGGCGGCGUGCCUAAUACAUGCAAGUCGAGCGAACGGACGAGAAGCUUGCUUCUCUGAUGUUAGCGGCGGACGGGUGAGUAACACGUGGAUAACCUACCUAUAAGACUGGGAUAACUUCGGGAAACCGUAGCUAAUACCGGAUAAUAUUUUGAACCGCAUGGUUCAAAAGUGAAAGACGGUCUUGCUGUCACUUAUAGAUGGAUCCGCGCUGCAUUAGCUAGCUGGUAAGGUAACGGCUUACCAAGGCAACGAUGCAUAGCCGACCUGAGAGGGUGACCGGCCAAACUGAACUGAGACACGGUCCAGACUCCUACGGGAGGCAGCAGUAGGGAAUCUUCCGCAAUGGGCGAAAGCCUGACGGAGCAACGCCGCGUGAGUGAUGAAGGUCUUCGGAUCGUAAAACUCUGUUAUUAGGGAAGAACAUAUGUGUAAGUAACUGUGCACAUCUUGACGGUACCUAAUCAGAAAGCCACGGCUAACUACGUG
rnacentral:rRNA from 1 species